UCCCGACAUCAUAUUAAGGAUCUGGGACGAAAUGAAAGCUUCCCAGCUAGCUACUCGGGAGGUGACAUACCCAGCCCGCAUGCCGACAAUGCAAGUCCUCAUGGAUUCCCUCCGGGACAAUUACCACCUUCGUCUUACUCAGGCGCUGAUUAUCAUUCCUCAGGCGCUGAUUAUCAUUCCGCUUCAUUUCAGCAGCCUCCUACACCG
rnacentral:misc_RNA from 1 species